rnacentral:tRNA from 1 species
GGGCCUGUAGCUCAGCCUGGUAGAGCGGCGGGCUUUUAACCCGUAGGUCGGGGGUUCGAAUCCCUCCAGGCCCA